CUACGUAGGUCCCGAACGUUGCGCGAAAUUACUGGGCGUAAAGGGUCCGUAGGCGGUCUGGUAAGUGGAAGGUGAAAGCCUGGGGCUCAACUCCAGAAUUGCCUUCCAAACUGCCGGACUUGAGGCAGGGAGAGGUCGGCGGAAUUCCCGGUGUAGUGGUGAAAUGCGUAGAGAUCGGGAGGAACACCAGUGGCGAAGGCGGCCGACUGGAACUGUCCUGACGCUGAGGGACGAAAGCCAGGGGAGCGAACCGGAUUAGAAACCCCUGUAGUCC
rnacentral:rRNA from 1 species